CAGGCUUAACACAUGCAAGUCGAGGGGUAACAGUCCCGCUUCGGCGGGAGCUGACGACCGGCGCACGGGUGAGUAACGCGUAUGCAACUUUCCUGUAACUGGAGGAUAGCCCCUGGAAACGGGGAUUAAUACUGCGUAAUACCUAAAUACCGCAUGGUAUUAAGGUCAAAUCUACGGAGGUUACAGAUGGGCAUGCGUGCCAUUAGCUAGAUGGUAAGGUAACGGCUUACCAUGGCAAUGAUGGCUAGGGGUUCUGCAAGGAAGGCCCCCCACACUGGUACUGAGACACGGACCAGACUCCUACGGGAGGCAGCAGUGAGGAAUAUUGGUCAAUGGAGGCAACUCUGAACCAGCCAAGCCGCGUGAAGGAAGACUGUCCUAUGGAUUGUAAACUUCUUUUGUGGCAGAAUAAACUACCGUACUUGUACGGUAUUGCAUGUAUGCCAUGAAUAAGCAUCGGCUAACUCCGUGCCAGCAGCCGCGGUAAUACGGAGGAUGCAGGCGUUAUCCGGAUUUAUUAGGUUUAAAGGGUGUUCAGGCUGCCUGGUAAGUCAGGGGUGAAAGUCGGUUGCUCAACGAUCGAAUUGCCUUUGAAACUGUCAGGCUCGAGUAUGGAUGCGGUAGGCGGAAUGUGUAGUGUAGCGGUGAAAUGCAUAGAUAUUACACAGAACACCGAUUGCGAAGGCAGCUUACCAAACCAGCACUGACGCUGAAGCACGAAAGCGUGGGGAGCGAACAGGAUUAGAUACCCUGGUAGUCCACGCCGUAAACUUUGCUCACUCGCUGUUGG
rnacentral:rRNA from 1 species